GGGAAAGGCCCAGACCCUGCGGGGAAGGCCACGCCCCGAGUGGGAGCGCUUCCUUCCAGAUCCCGGCCUCUCGCUGCAAUUCGUUUUAAGGGCAGCCCUGCCCGGUUCACACCUAGCCUUGAAGAUGACGGAUUGCACGGAUGUUAAGGAUGGCAAGAGAGUUCAACAGUGUGAAAACAGCUCACAGAUCACAGAAAUAAAGCAUUGCAUGGGCCUAAAAGGAUGAGCAGCUGUCUUCGCAAAAGCAGUUUCUGGAGAGAAGUAACAGGCUGGAGUGCAAUGGCGCGAUCUUGGCUCACCACAAUUCCGCCUCCCUGGUUCAAGUGAUUCUCCUGCCUCAACCUCCCGAGUAGCUGGUGUUACAGGCAUGUGUCCCAUGCCCGACCGACACAACCUUUUGAUAAAGAUUGUGUUGUGAUGGAGGAAUAGAUAGAUAUAUAUGAGAUGGGCGCUGCGUCAGCAUACUGAUAAUGCUGAUGAUGGCAAGGAGCCAGGAGAGAGGCAGAGCUUAAAGCUGUGAACACACCAAGGACAAAUAAUAGUGGGAAGGGGCGAAAAUGUCAGAAAGGUUGCAGUCCAGAGGGGAGUGAAAUUUAUGAUGCAUUGAAAGUCUCCCCCACUUCUUUUUACAAAAGAGAGAGAAUAGAAUAUGGAAACGAAUGUCUCAUCACUGCACCCACAGGGUGGUUUUCUGUGUAAUUUGCUCACGAGUUUUGGAGCUGUUGCAGGGGACACUUCACAUAUUCGGCUCUGUAUUUCCACUUUUUGUUUGUUUAGAUGGAGUCUCACUCUGUUGCCCAGGCUGGAGUGCAGUGGGGCGCCCUCUGCUCACUGCAGCCUCUGCCUCCCGUGUUUAAGCAAUUCUCUUGUCUCAACCUUCUGAGUAGCUGUGGUUACAGGCAUGCACCAACACGCCAGGCUAAUUUUUUUGUAUUUUUAGUAGAGACAGGGUUUCUCCGUGUUGGCCAGGCUGAUCUUGAUCUCCCGACCUCAGGUGAUCCACCCACCUUGGCCUCCCAAAGUGCUGAGAUUACAGCCAUGAGCCACUGUGCCUGGCCUGUAUUUCCAUUUCUUAACUCAACUUCUGCACUUAGUAGGCAUUAUGGUUAGUAAGCACAAUUUUAGUAUUUAUUUGUUUAUUUAUUUAGUUUAUUUUUUAUUUUUUGAGACGGAGUUUCGCUCUUGUUACCCAGGCUGGAGUGCAAUGGCGCGAUCUCGGCUCACCGCAACCUCCGCCUCCUGGGUUCAGGCAAUUCUCCUGCCUCAACCUCCUGAGUAGCUGGGAUUACAGGCACGCGCCACCAUGCCCAGCUAAUUUUUGUAUUUUUAGUAGAGAUGGGGUUUCACCAUGUUGACCAGGAUGGUCUCGAUCUGUUGACCUCGUGAUCCACCCGCCUCGGCCUCUCAAAGUGCUGGGAAUUUUAGUAUUUAUUGAUGCAACCAGUUAUUUUUUUAAAAACAAAAGAUUAGAGCAUUAGGCUCCAUUUGUAAGACAGACAACAAGAAAAACAGCCCAACAAACCCCGAAAACAAAAAACCAACCCAAGACAGAGGAUGAAAGAUAAAGCAGUUCCUACCAAAUUUCAAGCCUGGCUGCUAAUUUCUCCAGAUGCAUCACAGCCAAAUCAAUCAAUCAGUCAGUCAUCAACCAAUCACAACCCAGGUGCAGCAUUAACUGGCUUCACUUUUCAGGUCAGCUGUGCUGGGUUGGCUGCAUACAAACAUGUUUUUAAAUUUCUUAUUUCCACAGAGAAAUUCAAAGACCAACAGUUUAUGUAUGCAGAAUCCUCAUGCUGUAGACACACAACUCAAAAUAUACUGUAACUACAUUAAGAAAUAGAAGUCACAAGGCCAAUAGAAAAUAUUAGAUGUUCUCCCCCAAAUUCUUUAGCUUGGGGUUUGUUUGCCACAUAGCUUUACUUUUGCGGAACAGUUUUGUGAGGUGCCUCCUUUUCAAGGAUGUGCGCUAGUUAGGAAUCUGCUGCAGUAAAAACAUGGGCAGCUAUAGAAACUGUGUCUAAGUGAGGACUCCCUUGGUCCGAAAGACUGUCGGCUGUUUUAAUUGAAUCCAUUCAUUAGCCUGUCUCAUCAGUGCAUGAUGCUAAGACUGUGUACGAGAAUGUGAAUACAUAUCCAGGGCCAGACAAUUCAUGAUUUUGUUAUUAAAAGAAAGUUGCUGGUAGAAUUCCAUCCAUAAAUAUUUGAGUAGAGUUACAGAGGGACUGGCAGGCUGUAUUCAUUCAAAUUGGCUUUACUGGUCAGCUUUUCAGUUGAAGCCUGUGAGAAAUUUGCCAAAAGAAGACUGAAAAAUCAAGCUCUGUCCCAGCAUGUAACUUGGAAGGAUCCUAACUGACUAUUUGUGGGGCAGCUUUUCAGCUGGUAAGCAGACCUGGUCAAUUUCUUUUUAAAAUGCCCCCUGCAUCUGUCUCGUUUUCCUUCUAUUACCAGCUGAUCCAAGCCUUUAUAUCUCACCAAGCAAUUACUGCAACAGUUCCCAACUGGGGCCUGUGCUUCCAGGCCCUGUCAACUUCAAUGCAAACUCUGUCAAGAGGAUUUUUUAGAUCACCACUCCCCCUUGGUCAUUUCUUUGUUUUUGUUGUUGUUGUUUGUUUUGUUUUUGAGACAGAGUCUCACUCUGUCACCCAGGCUGGAGUGCAGUGGCGUGAUCUCCGCUCACUGCAACAUCCGCCUCCUGGGUUCAAGCGAUUCUUCUGCCUCAGUCUCCCUAGUAGCUGGGACUACAGGCGCGGGCCACCACACCUGACUAAUUUUUGUAUUUUUAGUAGAGACGGGGGUUUCACCAUAUUUGCCAGGCUGGUUUCAAACUACUGACCUCAUGAUCCGCCUGUCUCGGCCUCCCAGAGGGUUGGAAUUACAGGCGUGAGCCACCUCUCCUGGCCUGCUCAUUUCUUUGUUUAAGAAUCUAAGUGCAAAUUCUGGUAUAUUGUGAUUAAUGCUUAAGAAUCCCUGUGUUUGAGAGGAAGGUGUUAUCAUAUUAAUGAGUAGUGCCAAACACAUUGUGCAUAUCUACAGUUUAAUCCUUCAGUGUAUGUUACUGGAUUAGCUCCCUCCUCCUUCCGUGUGAUGGCACUAUCCAUAGAGUCAGUCACAUCCUCGUGAUGUUUUAUAUGGAGUUUGGCAACAUGUAAAUCAUGUGUGAAGGAAGUUUUUAUGAUUAAGGAACCAGAUUUAUUAUUUUUUUAUUGAAAGUUGAAACAACACAUAUGAACAAAAAGGAAAGAAUAUACUCUUUUCGUGGACGAUAACACAAAAAAAUCUAAGUGCCUGGGUAUUGUUUACUGAAUCAAGUAGGGAUUUUUAUUUUGAAGCGAGAUUUAUUUAUUAGCAUAACUAAAACCAUACGCCUUGAUUAAAAGUGACAUUGAAAGUAGUGAGACUAGGUCCUUUCUAGGAAGAAAGGCAUUCGAGAACUGUGAGAAAUGAAAAAGAUUUUAGUUCAAACCAGGGUCAUCCAGGGUCUAGUGCUUAUAUGACUGUGAGAGGGCCUCUUUUUUAAAAAAAAAAAAAAUAGAAAGUAUAUAAAUACAAAAUUAGAUGUAGGUCUUGGAAGGAAUUAGGGCUUGAGCUUAUUAGCUUAGUAGUAAAUCUGCCUCUGGGUCAAACAAACACGGCCUAAUAGCUGAGUUUAUUUGUUUUGAAUUUUCAUAUUUGGAUCAAAGUGAUACAUUCAUGUGGAAUCAACUCCGAUUGUGCCUUAAAGCUUAGGAUGAACAACAUUCUCUGGUCCCCACCCUCCUCAUCCUUAGUUCCCGCCCCAGAGACAAGCUAUUUUAGCUUUAUUUUUCCUUCGGUGUUUAUCACAAAAGGUUUCGUACUAUAUGCUCAUAAUGUUUUUAUGAUUAAUCUAAUUUAAAUAGUACCUACUGACAUUGCUAUGGCAGAUGAGGAUUUAUCUUAUUUCCUGCCACCUCUUCUCAAUGUAGUAACUAUUAUUGCUUUUUAGUGAUUAUUAUUGCUUUCAUUAGUCCUUAGUAGCUUAGUCUAGUAACUAGUUUUAAUUUUAGUUUUGUGUGAUUUAGAAACGGCUCUAUGGUCUAAUUCCACUGUCUUUCAACGUGUGGCAUCUCUGCUGGUCUCUUUUGUUGCUUCCCUUUGCACACUAGAUGCAUAGUGCCCCUCUUCUCCAGCUCCGCCUUCUUUGCCUAUUGAAGUCCUUUCCAUCCUUCAAAGCCCGGAUCAAUUCUUACCUCAUCCAUAAAUCUUAGCUGUUCCAACAGACUUUGGUAUCUCUCUUUGAAUGCUUCUCAUUUGACUUCUGCAACACGCAGUUUAGCACUUGAUUAUAAAGCUUAUUGUUUGUUUCUGAGCCCGGCCCCGCCUCCUCCCUGGAGCCAGUCACUGGAUGUUUUGCAAGGCUGGCUCUCAGUAAGUGUUUAUUGAACUGAAUCGUUCUGUCCUCUGAUUGUUUCAGAUUUGUGAGUCUUACCUGCCUCGCUAGAUUAUAAACAUCACAUAUUCUUGCAUUUUCCCCAGUGUGAAAUGCAGACUAGGCACUUAAUAAUAAUUAAUUGUUGAAUAAUUCUGAUCUUUUGCUUCAUCCACAUUAUCUUGAAGCAUUUCUCCUUCAUUUACUGGAAGAUAGGAGAGGACAGCAUGCUGUAAAAAAGUCAGAGAGCCACACCGAGAACCCACAUAUAGGUGUUUGAGCAGACAGCCUGGGAGAGGUCCCAGCAGGUGGCCAGCGCCAACUUGCCAGCUGCGUGAGUGAGCUAUCUUGGGAGUGGAGCGUCCAGCUUCGGGUCAAGCUGCCCUCGUUGAUACCGCAUGGAGCCAAGACAGUCUUGCCCUGUGGUCCAGACCGGAGUGCAAUGGCAUGAUUGCAGAUCACUACAGCAUUGAACUCCUGGCCUCAAGCGAACCUCACGUCUCACCUCACAAAGCACUGGGAUUACAAGUCUGCAGGCGAGGAAAGAAAGAUACAACAAAGGGCCUGCCCUCUGGGAGCUCACAGUUCGAGGAAGGGUCAGAAACCUCAUCAGUCCUGGUGGUGACAGAACCAUGGAAGUAGCCCAUCCUAGAAACCUGAUUUCUGGUUGACUUUGCUGCUGCUCUUCCUGUUUCCCUUCCUUCAUGUCUGCUGUUGCUAUUUAGAUGUGUGCUAUCCGUUGGAUUUCAACAAGAAAAAAGACGGAGUCUUGGUCUGUCGCCGGGCUGGAGUGCAGUGGCGCGAUCGUGGCUUACUACAAUCUUUGCCUCCUGAGUUCAAGUGAUUCUCCUGCCUCAGCCUCCUGAGUAGCUGGGACUACAGGCACCCGCCACCACGCCUGGCUAAUUUUUUGUAUUUUAGUAGAGACGGGGUUUCACUAUGUUAGCCAGGAUGGUCUUGAUAUCCUGACCUCGUGAUCCACCCAUCUCAGCCCCAUAAAGUGCUGGGAUUACAGGUGUGAGCCACCGUGCCUGGCUGGGUUUCCUAACUCUUAAGGUGGCAGUACCUGCUUGGGUGGCAUUGCCUCUACACCAGCUUUCACACUUUUGUCAGGGGAGAGGAGGAUACCAGUUCCUUAGUGUACCUGGCACUUCUCUCACCAAAGAAGAGAGGGAAAUAACCAACCAGACAAACUCAAUUUUCCUCGUCACCAAAUACACAAUAAAUUGUUGGAACAUUUUGUUGGCUAUGUCAGGGCAAAUGGCCAGAGAGAUCAUUGCCAGGUCCCGUAGCAGGUGUCUGACCACUUAUUAUCCAUAGAAUUCCAGGGCAGCACGCUUCCAUCUAGCAAUGGUGGGGAUCUGUCUCGGGGGAGAGAACCAAAUUCUGGGAGCAGCAGCCCAUCUUCUAGCAAGAUCAGGGAUUGGGAUUUUAUUUUAUUUCUUCUUACUUUUUUGAGACAGGGCCUCACUCUGUUGCCCGGGUUGGAGUGCUGUGGUACAAUCGAAACUCAAUGCAGCCUUGACCUUCUGGGUUCAAGAAAAUCUCCCACCUCAUCCUCCCAAGUAGCUGGGACUAUAGAUGCAUACACCAUGCCUAGCUAAUUUUUAAUUUUUUCUUUUUUUUUUUGAGUCUUACUAAUGUUGCCUAGGCUGGUCUUGAACUCCUGGCCACAAGCAAUCCUCCUGCCUUAGCCUCCCAAAGCACUGGCAUUACAGGCAUGAACCACUAUACACAUCCCUAAGGGUUGGGAAUGGAUCUGGCAGGACCUUGCCUCCAUGCCUAUCCUGUCAGCCAAGUGUUUAUGAUUUCAGAGGCAUUAGUGCCUUUGUUGGCAGGACUGGGGACUGGGAUUCAGCCUUGAGGUUGUGGUUGGUGUGAUAGGAUGAGCUUAUGACAUGAUUCACCACCGCAGUGUUCACAGCUGGGGAAGCAUUUGUCCCAUUCCUGGUGUAAUUGGUGUGGGCGAGGCUGGGGUCCAAGUGUUGCAGCUGCCUGGAGUUGACUGCCUUGCCUACUUAGCAGUGGCUGUUUUCCAUGGAUAUUUGCAGAAGGUCUGUUCCUUUUUGGAAGAUGGUCUGUACGGAAUGACCAGACACAAGGAAAAUGGUUGCUCGUAAGAACGCCUGCCAUCUUCUCCUCGCAUUUUCCAUUCUGAGCUCAGCCUCCGACGUGUGCUGCUCGCAGGCACCCACACUGCUGCACGGGGCUCCCAGCUCACAGGUCCAGCGCAUCACGCUUGGAGAGACCAGAGCAAUGGCGCAGAAUUUCCGUGUCAUCGAAUGUGCAGCGUCAGUGUGUGGACAGCUUUGGGAACCUCUUAGGACGACUUUAUUUUGCUUCACAGUGUGAGACCUCGCUGGAUGGCUAAGUGCUGUCAGUCAUGCAUUGGCCAUAAAACAUUUAUCUGAUACAAAGUCUCAGAGAGAAAAGUUAACAUCGCUUCACCCCUGUGCUGUAAAUGGAUGACACUUUCACUAUGGUGGCACUAUGGACAGAGAGUCUCAGAAAAACUGGAAAACAGCAAACUUGCCUCAAGAACAGAACGCUCGACUAGGGAUGAGCAGGCCUUGGUUCUCAUCCCAGCUCUGCCAGCUGUGUGACUGCAGGAAGGUCACAUCUCUUCUGGGCUUCUGUUUGCUCAUUUAUAAUGAUAUCUCCCUUACAGAACUGCUGAGAGGUACCUUGAGCAUGCCGCAGCACAUUGUCAAUUAGAACCUUUCUGCUGCAUUUACAUAUAAAAUGAAGGAGUUAGGGCAGUGAACUUUGGACUUUUCCAAGCUCCAGGACACUGACUCCGGGGAGCAGGGAGAAGAACAGAGGGGUCUGAGCACAUCACACAGGCAUGUUUGGUUAGCUGUGCAAACAAGCUGGAUGGCAGCAUCCUCUGUUUCUAUUAAGCUUCAAAACUUAUUUGUGAGAUAUGGAUUUGGGAGCUGCACUGAGGCAGAAACAGAAGAGAGAGGAAUGAAAAAACAUCAAGAAUCGUUCAGUCAUCCUCACCCUGAGGAACAGUUCAAAGGAAUCAGUGUGGCGCAGGAAGGAUAAUAGCGCCAGGGACAGCCACCAAAUAUCUUGUUUAUUGGCAAGAACAAAAACAAAAAUAAACAAAACCCAAAAUGUGCUGAAAAAUAGAGUGGCUAAACCCAGUUAUUGCACUACUGUGUUUUCUGGUGAGAUGGC